UACGAAGGGUGCAAACGUUGCUCGGAAUUAUUGGGCGUAAAGAGCUCGUAGGCGGUCUGUCGCGUCGGCUGUGAAAACUCGGGGCUCAACUCCGAGCUUGCAGUCGAUACGGGCAGGCUAGAGUUCGGCAGGGGAGACUGGAAUUCCUGGUGUAGCGGUGAAAUGCGCAGAUAUCAGGAGGAACACCGGUGGCGAAGGCGGGUCUCUGGGCCGAUACUGACGCUGAGGAGCGAAAGCGUGGGGAGCGAACAGG
rnacentral:rRNA from 1 species